rnacentral:rRNA from 1 species
GAGGAAGUAAAAGUCGUAACAAGGUUUCCGUAGGUGAACCUGCGGAAGGAUCAUUAAUGAAUUAAAUCCGAGGUCGUUGCUGCUGGUCUCUUGAGACAUCGUGCACGCUUCCUUCUUAUUCAUCCACCCCAAACCGUGCACUCAUCGUAGGCCGGAGAUUUCUCCGGUCUAUGUAUUUCUUAAACACCGUAAAAAGUAAAUGAACGUAUCGAAUGCCGCUCACGCGGUAUUAACAAAAUUAAUACAACUUUCAACAACGGAUCUCUUGGCUCUCGCAUCGAUGAAGAACGCAGCGAAAUGCGAUAAGUAAUGUGAAUUGCAGAAUUCAGUGAAUCAUCGAAUCUUUGAACGCACCUUGCACCCUUUGGUAUUCCGAAGGGUAUGCCUGUUUGAGUGUCAUUAAAUUAUCAACUCGAGAAUUCUUUUUCUCGAUGUUUGGACUUGGAGUGUGCAGGGCUUUCUUAAGAUCCCAGCUCCUCUUGAAAUGAAUUAGCGGAACUCUUUCGGUUUGCUCCGGCGUGAUAAUUAUCUACGUUGCGGCAUGAUCGUGUUAUCUGCUCAUAACCGUUGCAUAUAUGCGCAACAAAUGCUUUAUGACAAUUUGACCUCAGAUCAGGUAGGACUACCCGCUGAACUUAAGCAUAUCA